UACGGAGGGUGCAAGCGUUGUCCGGAUUUAUUGGGUUUAAAGGGUGCGUAGGCGGUUCUUUAAGUCCGGGGUGAAAGCCCACUGCUCAACAGUGGAACUGCCCUGGAAACUGGAGAACUUGAGUACAGACGAGGGCGGCGGAAUGGAUGGUGUAGCGGUGAAAUGCAUAGAUAGCAUCCAGAACCCCGAUUGCGUAGGCAGCUGACUAGGCUGGUACUGACACUGAGGCACGAAAGCGUGGGUAGCAAACAGG
rnacentral:rRNA from 1 species